UUGUAUUUUCUGUCGUUCAAAAAGUGCAACUACGAAUACAUAAAUUUUGAUAUCUUGAGUCUUGUUAUAUUUGUGCGUGUGACUUGAAUGUUUAUAAAACCCCCGCGACACCAGGAUUUACAACACUUAAUGCGGGUGUCGUUAAAAAAAAUAACGCGUAACAAAACUACUCCAUCCACAAGGAAAGUUAUCUCUCUAGUAGUGUAGUAAUAGUAUGAUCCUACCCUGUAGUGUUGUGUAUAGUGAUUAAUCUCCAAGUUGUUUAUACAAAGCGCUCCAGACAGAUUACCGGCUCGCAUCAGUAUGCAGAUGCAGUAGGCGCGAAAUGUUGCUCAGGAGAUCCAAAAUAUACUGUAAGAUAUCUGUUUACGAAGUCCGAGUAUUCCCUGAGGACGUAACCAGAGCAUAAUCAACUGUGAAUGGGUGAGGUAGGUACCUACAACCUACCUAAUAAUACGCAGAUCGGUGGAAUUUCAGGCCGCAUUAAUAUCGAUAAUCUUAAAUGGGAGUACUGUAAGUACUGAGAUAGUGCUGGCAAAUGACAAUUAUCUUAAGUUUGCAGACGACUGUUUAGGGAGAAAAUCCUGUUUUAAAGUAGGGAUAUAGUAUUAAAAUAUGAGGAAAACGAAAAUGUUUUCCUUGGCGGGACACAAAAUGACUCAGAUAACGUUCCAAAAUUUAAAAUUAAAAUGAAUAAUGCUUGUUUUUACCAGAUUAUUUGUUAUGUUUUUAAAUUUGUUCCAUGCCGUUAGCUUGAGCGCAGGCUUUGACUCAUCGGACUAUGGAAAUUACGUGCAUUCCUUAUUCUGCACAAUAUGAGAAAAAAGCCUGCAUCGGGGCAAUAUUAUCUACGAGAACGUCCUUUAUCAGUCCGUACCACGCGAUUAAUUAGUACAGUUUAUUAUCAAGUUGCUAAAUAUUUACAUUUAACCCAAAAUACACCCACUUAAUAAAGUCCUUGUUUUCUAGAGUGACGGAAAUAGUUAAGAAAGUAAUUAAAUUACAAAGUAAUGACGCAUGAGCUUGUGGCAAAGCGUAACAAAUUAUUGUGUGGGACAAUGUGAUACUUGUUAGUAAAUAUACGGGCUUUAAUCGUCCUAAGUCCCUUGUAGUGGUCAGCUUUUUGGCCAUAGGUAUAUAUAGGUAUAGAGAUACUAAAACAAUUUUGGCACCGUACGCUUGGCUUGGGCAUCUAACAUAC